rnacentral:rRNA from 1 species
AAGGGCGGAGUCCUCCCCCCCUCCCCCGCGCGAGGAAGAGCAGAGGAAGUGUGUUCCGCCUCGCCGGAGUUUACCCGCCGCGCGCGUCCGCCCCGCAGCCAUCGCCCAUCGGGGUGCAGAAGCACCAUCCACGAGGCGGAACCGCCCGUGGGACUUGCGGUGGGCGUCAAAGAGGGCGGAGCACAGUCGCCGCUGCCGCGCCGGAGUUGGUGGGGACGCCACCCUCGAAACCCUAGCCAUGGGAAGGGGUCGGGGAUGAGCUCCCGGGGCCGCGAGAGGCGGAUCUGGCCGGAAGGAAGGGAAGAGCGGAGGCAGGGGAGCUCGGAUCUGUGCUGCGCGCCGGCGAGGCCGCCGGAACAUGCCGGAAUCGAGCGGCGUAGGUGGCGGCGGCGACGGUUUCGGGGGGAGGGAGAGACGAGCGAGAGAGAGAGGGUGGGAGAGGCGUGCGAAUGUGGGAUGGAGAGGUGGGGCCGUUGGAGAGGUGCUGGCAGACGGCAAAGAGUUGAGUGGGGUCCAGUGGACACCGGCGCUGUAACGGUCCACCAGCCCCCAUCUCUUUUGACUGAUGGCAACCAGGUUCUUUGUCACCGGCGCUGUAACGGUCCACUAGCCCCAUCUCUUUUGACUGAUGGCAACCAGGUUCUUUGUCGUCUGUUUUUUGUAAGCAGAUGAUAAAGAUCUUUUUUGCCGUCUGUUAGCAGACGGCAAAGAGCUGGCUGACGGCAAAGAUCCCAAUUCCAGUAGUGUAACUUCUUGAUUCUUCUCUGAACAUUGCUUCUUCCUGUACUCUUAGAAAUGUAUUGGUGCAAGAGAAAUAGUAGUAGAUAUAUUAAAUAUCAUAUAUCUGCCAUCCUUG